rnacentral:rRNA from 1 species
UAGGGAAUCUUCGGCAAUGGACGAAAGUCUGACCGAGCAACGCCGCGUGAGUGAAGAAGGUUUUCGGAUCGUAAAACUCUGUUGUUAGAGAAGAACAAGGACGUUAGUAACUGAACGUCCCCUGACGGUAUCUAACCAGAAAGCCACGGCUAACUACGUGCCAGCAGCCGCGGUAAUACGUAGGUGGCAAGCGUUGUCCGGAUUUAUUGGGCGUAAAGCGAGCGCAGGCGGUUUCUUAAGUCUGAUGUGAAAGCCCCCGGCUCAACCGGGGAGGGGCAUUGGAAACUGGGAGACUUGAGUGCAGAAGAGGAGAGUGGAAUUCCAUGUGUAGCGAUGAAAUGCGUAGAUAUAUGGAGGAACACCAGUGGCGAAGGCGGCUCUCUGGUCUGUAACUGACGCUGAGGCUCGAAAGCGUGGGGAGCAAACAGG